rnacentral:rRNA from 1 species
AUUGAACGCUGGCGGCAGGCCUAACACAUGCAAGUCGAGCGGAUGAAGGGAGCUUGCUCCUGGAUUCAGCGGCGGACGGGUGAGUAAUGCCUAGGAAUCUGCCUGGUAGUGGGGGAUAACGUCCGGAAACGGGCGCUAAUACCGCAUACGUCCUGAGGGAGAAAGUGGGGGAUCUUCGGACCUCACGCUAUCAGAUGAGCCUAGGUCGGAUUAGCUAGUUGGUGGGGUAAAGGCCUACCAAGGCGACGAUCCGUAACUGGUCUGAGAGGAUAAUCAGUCACACUGGAACUGAGACACGGUCCAGACUCCUACGGGAGGCAGCAGUGGGGAAUAUUGGACAAUGGGCGAAAGCCUGAUCCAGCCAUGCCGCGUGUGUGAAGAAGGUCUUCGGAUUGUAAAGCACUUUAAGUUGGGAGGAAGGGCAGUAAGUUAAUACCUUGCUGUUUUGACGUUACCAACAGAAUAAGCACCGGCAACUUCGUG